rnacentral:misc_RNA from 1 species
AGCAAGUCUCAUAGACGACUUCCCUGAGCAAAUUGUCGAAAAGAGUCAUUGAUAACAAUCUUCUUAGGGGUGGUCUAUAAGCAUAAGUGAGAAUCAAAGUGAAAAAAAUAAGAGAUGCUGGGAUUUUCAUACGGAGAAGUAUUUCUGUUGCUUGGUGCUACUGCUGCUCUUAUUGGACCUAAAGAUCUACCAAUCAUCGCAAGAACACUAGGCAGAUUUGCUGGGCGUUCCAUUGGUUAUGUUCAAUUGGCCCGUGGCCAGUUAGAAAGUGUCAUGCAGCAGUCCCAAG